GAUGAACGCUAGCGGCAGGCCUAACACAUGCAAGUCGAGGGAGAGGUUAUCUUCGGGUAACCAAAACCGGCGCACGGGUGCGUAACGCGUAUACAAUCUGCCUUUCACAUAGGGAUAGCCCGAAGAAAUUUGGAUUAAUACCUAAUGGUAUAUAGGAGCGGCAUCGUUUUUAUAUUAAAGCUACGGUGGUGAAAGAUGAGUAUGCGUUCUAUUAGCUAGUUGGAGAGGUAACGGCUCCCCAAGGCGACGAUAGAUAGGGGUUCUGAGAGGGAUGUCCCCCACACUGGUACUGAGAUACGGACCAGACUCCUACGGGAGGCAGCAGUGAGGAAUAUUGGACAAUGGUCGGAAGACUGAUCCAGCCAUGCCGCGUGCAGGAUGAAGGUCCUAUGGAUUGUAAACUGCUUUUGUAAGGGAAGAAUAAGGAGUACGUGUACUUUGAUGACGGUACCUUACGAAUAAGCAUCGGCUAACUCCGUGCCAGCACUUCCGUUAAUACGGAGGAUGCGAGCGUUAUCCGGAAUCAUUGGGUUUAAAAGAGUCCGUAGGCGGGCUGAUAAGUCAGAUGUGACACCCGCUUAGUUCUACUAAUAACUGCCUCAUGAAACUGUCACCCUUGAUUGAUGGCGAAGAUGUUGGAAUGUUUCCCUUUUUCGGGAUGUGCUUCUAUAUCUCUUCAACU
rnacentral:rRNA from 1 species